UUGUAUAUUCCUCUCCUUGUAGGAGGUUGGAGCCUUAGUGGCUAAGUAAAUAAUAAAUCCAUAUUUCUAUUUACAGUGCAAAUACAUUUAUAAUGGGAAUCCUUGGUGUGUAAGAAAAGAAAGUUAAUGGUCAACAAAUCACGGCAACACUCCUCCUCACAUUGUUGCAUAUAUAUUGCUAAAGCUCAACUGAUCUAGUGAAUUGUGCAAUUGAUCCUCAGACUUCUGUACAGAGGCGAAUUUCUUCGUUUUCCAAGUUGCUCUAAUUCUGCUCUUCAUUGCGUAUCUCCCCCUCAAGCAUAGAAUUGGAUGUUAGGUCAUGGAAGAACAUAUCAAAUUCUAGAAAGGUCACAUCCAAAAUGACAUAGGUACGUGGGGUAGAAGGGUGAU
rnacentral:lncRNA from 1 species